rnacentral:rRNA from 1 species
UACAGAGGGUGCAAGCGUUGUUCGGAAUUACUGGGCGUAAAGGGCUUGUAGGCGGCCAACUAAGUCAGACGUGAAAUCCCUCGGCUUAACCGGGGAACUGCGUCUGAUACUGGAUGGCUUGAGUGUGGGAGAGGGAUGCGGAAUUCCAGGUGUAGCGGUGAAAUGCGUAGAUAUCUGGAGGAACACCGGUGGCGAAGGCGGCAUCCUGGACCAUUACUGACACUGAAAAGCGAAAGCCAGGGGAGCAAACGGG